UACAGGGGGUGCAAACGUUGCUCGGAAUCAUUGGGCGUAAAGCGCACGUAGGCGGUUCGUUAUGUCGGAUGUGAAAGCCCUUGGCUUAACCGAGGAAGUGCAUCCGAAACUGGCGAGCUAGAGUACUAAAGAGGAUCGCGGAAUUCCCGGUGUAGAGGUGAAAUUCGUAGAUAUCGGGAGGAACACCGAUGGCGAAGGCAGCCCCCCUGGGCUGACACUGACGCUCAGGCACGAAAGCGUGGGGGAGCAAACAGG
rnacentral:rRNA from 1 species